rnacentral:rRNA from 1 species
UUGUAAGUGUCUAAGGGCGCAUGGUGGAUGCCUUGGCAUCGAGAGCCGAUGAAGGACGUGGGAGGCUGCGAUAUGCCUCGGGGAGCUGUCAACCGAGCGUGGAUCCGAGGAUUUCCGAAUGGGGAAACCCAGCACGAGUGAUGUCGUGCUACCCGCAUCUGAAUAUAUAGGGUGCGGGAGGGAACGCGGGGAAGUGAAACAUCUCAGUACCCGUAGGAGGAGAAAACAAUUGUGAUUCCGCAAGUAGUGGCGAGCGAACGCGGAACAGGCUAAACCGCACGCAUGGGUAACCGGGUAGGGGUUGUGUGUGCGGGGUUGUGGGAGGAUAUGUCUCAGCGCUACCCGGCUGAGAGGCAGUCAGAAAGUGUCGUGGUUAGCGGAAGUGGCCUGGGAUGGUCUGCCGUAGACGGUGAGAGCCCGGUACGCGAAAACCCGGCACCUGCCUAGUAUCAAUUCCCGAGUAGCAGCGGGCCCGUGGAAUCCGCUGUGAAUCCGCCGGGACCACCCGGUAAGCCUAAAUACUCCUCGAUGACCGAUAGCGGAUUAGUACCGUGAGGGAAUGGUGAAAAGUACCCCGGGAGGGGAGUGAAAGAGUACCUGAAACCGUGUGCCUACAAUCCGUCAGAGCCUCCUUUUCCUCUCCGGAGGAGGGUGGUGAUGGCGUGCCUUUUGAAGAAUGAGCCUGCGAGUCAGGGACAUGUCGCAAGGUUAACCCGUGUGGGGUAGCCGCAGCGAAAGCGAGUCUGAAUAGGGCGACCCACACGCGCAUACGCGCGUGUGAAUAGUGGCGUGUUCUGGACCCGAAGCGGAGUGAUCUACCCAUGGCCAGGGUGAAGCGCGGGUAAGACCGCGUGGAGGCCCGAACCCACUUAGGUUGAAGACUGAGGGGAUGAGCUGUGGGUAGGGGUGAAAGGCCAAUCAAACUCCGUGAUAGCUGGUUCUCCCCGAAAUGCAUUUAGGUGCAGCGUUGCGUGGUUCACCGCGGAGGUAGAGCUACUGGAUGGCCGAUGGGCCCUACUAGGUUACUGACGUCAGCCAAACUCCGAAUGCCGUGGUGUAAAGCGUGGCAGUGAGACGGCGGGGGAUAAGCUCCGUACGUCGAAAGGGAAACAGCCCAGAUCGCCGGCUAAGGCCCCCAAGCGUGUGCUAAGUGGGAAAGGAUGUGCAGUCGCAAAGACAACCAGGAGGUUGGCUUAGAAGCAGCCACCCUUGAAAGAGUGCGUAAUAGCUCACUGGUCAAGUGAUUGUGCGCCGAUAAUGUAGCGGGGCUCAAGCACACCGCCGAAGCCGCGGCACAUCCACCUUGUGGUGGGUGUGGGUAGGGGAGCGUCCCUCAUUCAGCGAAGCCACCGGGUGACCGGUGGUGGAGGGUGGGGGAGUGAGAAUGCAGGCAUGAGUAGCGACAAGGCAAGUGAGAACCUUGCCCGCCGAAAGNAUGAGUAGCGACAAGGCAAGUGAGAACCUUGCCCGCCGAAAGACCAAGGGUUCCUGGGCCAGGCCAGUCCGCCCAGGGUGAGUCGGGACCUAAGGCGAGGCCGACAGGCGUAGUCGAUGGACAACGGGUUGAUAUUCCCGUACCCGUGUGUGGGCGCCCGUGACGAAUCAGCGGUACUAACCACCCAAAACCGGAUCGAUCACUCCCCUUCGGGGGUGUGGAGUUCUGGGGCUGCGUGGGAACUUCGCUGGUAGUAGUCAAGCGAAGGGGUGACGCAGGAAGGUAGCCGUACCAGUCAGUGGUAACACUGGGGCAAGCCGGUAGGGAGAGCGAUAGGCAAAUCCGUCGCUCACUAAUCCUGAGAGGUGACGCAUAGCCGGUUGAGGCGAAUUCGGUGAUCCUCUGCUGCCAAGAAAAGCCUCUAGCGAGCACACACACGGCCCGUACCCCAAACCGACACAGGUGGUCAGGUAGAGCAUACCAAGGCGUACGAGAUAACUAUGGUUAAGGAACUCGGCAAAAUGCCCCCGUAACUUCGGGAGAAGGGGGACCGGAAUAUCGUGAACACCCUUGCGGUGGGAGCGGGAUCCGGUCGCAGAAACCAGUGAGGAGCGACUGUUUACUAAAAACACAGGUCCGUGCGAAGUCGCAAGACGAUGUAUACGGACUGACGCCUGCCCGGUGCUGGAAGGUUAAGAGGACCCGUUAACCCGCAAGGGUGAAGCGGAGAAUUUAAGCCCCAGUAAACGGCGGUGGUAACUAUAACCAUCCUAAGGUAGCGAAAUUCCUUGUCGGGUAAGUUCCGACCUGCACGAAUGGCGUAACGACUUCUCAACUGUCUCAACCAUAGACUCGGCGAAAUUGCACUACGAGUAAAGAUGCUCGUUACGCGCGGCAGGACGAAAAGACCCCGGGACCUUCACUACAACUUGGUAUUGAUGUUCGGUACGGUUUGUGUAGGAUAGGUGGGAGACUGUGAAACCUCGACGCCAGUUGGGGCGGAGUCGUUGUUGAAAUACCACUCUGAUCGUAUUGGGCAUCUAACCUCGAACCCUGAAUCGGGUUUAGGGACAGUGCCUGGCGGGUAGUUUAACUGGGGCGGUUGCCUCCUAAAAUGUAACGGAGGCGCCCAAAGGUUCCCUCAACCUGGACGGCAAUCAGGUGGCGAGUGUAAAUGCACAAGGGAGCUUGACUGCGAGACUUACAAGUCAAGCAGGGACGAAAGUCGGGAUUAGUGAUCCGGCACCCCCGAGUGGAAGGGGUGUCGCUCAACGGAUAAAAGGUACCCCGGGGAUAACAGGCUGAUCUUCCCCAAGAGUCCAUAUCGACGGGAUGGUUUGGCACCUCGAUGUCGGCUCGUCGCAUCCUGGGGCUGGAGCAGGUCCCAAGGGUUGGGCUGUUCGCCCAUUAAAGCGGCACGCGAGCUGGGUUUAGAACGUCGUGAGACAGUUCGGUCUCUAUCCGCCGCGCGCGUCAGAAACUUGAGGAAACCUGUCCCUAGUACGAGAGGACCGGGACGGACGAACCUCUGGUGCACCAGUUGUCCCGCCAGGGGCACCGCUGGAUAGCCACGUUCGGUCAGGAUAACCGCUGAAAGCAUCUAAGCGGGAAACCUUCUCCAAGAUCAGGUUUCUCACCCACUUGGUGGGAUAAGGCCCCCCGCAGAACACGGGUUCAAUAGGUCAGACCUGGAAGCUCAGUAAUGGGUGUAGGGAACUGGUGCUAACCGGCCGAAAACUUACAACACCC